GAUGAACGCUGGCGGCGUGCCUAAUACAUGCAAGUCGAGCGAACGGACGAGAAGCUUGCUUCUCUGAUGUUAGCGGCGGACGGGUGAGUAACACGUGGAUAACCUACCUAUAAGACUGGGAUAACUUCGGGAAACCGGAGCUAAUACCGGAUAAUAUUUUGAACCGCAUGGUUCAAAAGUGAAAGACGGUCUUGCUGUCACUUAUAGAUGGAUCCGCGCUGCAUUAGCUAGUUGGUAAGGUAACGGCUUACCAAGGCAACGAUGCAUAGCCGACCUGAGAGGGUGAUCGGCCACACUGGAACUGAGACACGGUCCAGACUCCUACGGGAGGCAGCAGUAGGGAACCUUCCGCAAUGGGCGAAAGCCUGACGGAGCAACGCCGCGUGAGUGAUGAAGGUCUUCGGAUCGUAAAACUCUGUUAUUAGGGAAGAACAUAUGUGUAAGUAACUGUGCACAUCUUGACGGUACCUAAUCAGAAAGCCACGGCUAACUACGUGCCAGCAGCCGCGGUAAUACGUAGGUGGCAAGCGUUAUCCGGAAUUAUUGGGCGUAAAGCGCGCGUAGGCGGUUUUUUAAGUCUGAUGUGAAAGCCCACGGCUCAACCGUGGAGGGUCAUUGGAAACUGGAAAACUUGAGUGCAGAAGAGGAAAGUGGAAUUCCAUGUGUAGCGGUGAAAUGCGCAGAGAUAUGGAGGAACACCAGUGGCGAAGGCGACUUUCUGGUCUGUAACUGACGCUGAUGUGCGAAAGCGUGGGGAUCAAACAGGAUUAGAUACCCUGGUAGUCCACGCCGUAAUCGAUGAGUGCUAAGUGUUAGGGGGUUUCCGCCCCUUAGUGCUGCAGCUAACGCAUUAAGCACUCCGCCUGGGGAGUACGACCGCAAGGUUGAAACUCAAAGGAAUUGACGGGGACCCGCACAAGCGGUGGAGCAUGUGGUUUAAUUCGAAGCAACGCGAAGAACCUUACCAAAUCUUGACAUCCUUUGACAACUCUAGAGAUAGAGCCUUCCCCUUCGGGGGACAAAGUGACAGGUGGUGCAUGGUUGUCGUCAGCUCGUGUCGUGAGAUGUUGGGUUAAGUCCCGCAACGAGCGCAACCCUUAAGCUUAGUUGCCAUCAUUAAGUUGGGCACUCUAAGUUGACUGCCGGUGACAAACCGGAGGAAGGUGGGGAUGACGUCAAAUCAUCAUGCCCCUUAUGAUUUGGGCUACACACGUGCUACAAUGGACAAUACAAAGGGCAGCGAAACCGCGAGGUCAAGCAAAUCCCAUAAAGUUGUUCUCAGUUCAGAUUGUAGUCUGCAACUCGACUACAUGAAGCUGGAAUCGCUAGUAAUCGUAGAUCAGCAUGCUACGGUGAAUACGUUCCCGGGUCU
rnacentral:rRNA from 1 species